CAGGGAGACAACAAAAUGUUUAAUAUUAUUAUUUUGUCACCUUAGGUCGAUCGGUAUCUCACAUUCUUGAUUUAUUAAGGAUUUUAUUUCCUAAGUUUUUUCUAGGUCACACCCAUUACUUUUCCUGGGCCAUUAGCUCAGGUGGUUAGAGCGCACCCCUGAUAAGGGUGAGGUCCCUGGUUCAAGUCCAGGAUGGCCCAUAUCUCUAUGUUGGGGGUAUAGCUCAGUUGGUAGAGCGCCUGCUUUGCAAGCAGGAUGUCAGCGGUUCGAGUCCGCUUACCUCCACUGAUUACCACCUCUUCCAUAAUUUUCAUAAAGGAAAUGUUUUGAGUAGUGAUCAAAUUCUGAACGAAUCUAGCUUCCUAAUGUAAUCAUUAAGAUGCUGGACUCAUUGAAUUAAAUUCAUUGUUUUCAGAGAACCUUGACAACUGCAUAGAUUAUUUUUAAAGACAAUAAGCAUCUUUAUGAUGCAGAUUUAUUAUUUGUGCAAAUGCAUUAAUAACAAUUCUAUUAAGCUGAUGCUUCAAUUAUGAAGUUAUU
rnacentral:tRNA from 1 species